GUAAUCAAUUGUGUGUGGCUGGGGUCGGGGCGGGCAGGUGGGUAAGAUAACACUGGGUCAAAUAAAACACUCACAGAGAUGCCUGAAUGAAUUCUGAGCACAGAAAACGCAUCUUCCAUGCUGCCUAUUGGGUGCCAAUUCUCAUCUCAUCUAUUCCUCCUUUCUGAAUUCUGAGACAAGACUGACAAUGGGUUGGGGAUGCUCGGAGCACUAUUAUGCUUUUCGCGGCUGGGAAAGGAAGGAUGUGAGCAGCAAUUUGAAGUCCCACUGAGAAGUGUCAGGAAUAAUCUGGGAAGAAUCUGAAUCCAUGGUUACACCUAGAUGGUAAAGAGCUGCAGCAAAUCAGUUUUCAGGAAGCUCUGGGAAAUGUGGGCUCUGCAGCCCAGGCAGGAUCAUCUCGUUUUGCCUGGCCUCCUUCAUGCUAGUGCCUGCCUUCCGAGACUCUCCGCUUUAUCCUGUCUACGGAUUUACUGGUAGUACAUGGGUUUUGCAUACUGUCUUUUCCACGUGAGCUCCUCGGGAGCAGAAACAAUUUUUUGCCUUUCUUUGUAUUCCUAGCACUGAGGAGAGUGCCUGACACAUCCUUAAUAAAUGCUCGUUGAUUUGACUUUCA